GAACCCUCCCCAUCCACCCCCAUGCUUCCACAGUUCUGGCCAACAGAGGUUUUGUCUUAGACGCACCCACACGUCCUGUGGGCACUGGCUACACCAACAUGUAGAGGCAGCCUGGCCGUGACUGUGCUUCAGACGUUUCCCCUCGUCCACCGCCAGGGAGCCCUGCUUCUGCAAAACGUCGAGAAGGAAGGGGCCUGGGACCAUCGUGUGAAGCCAGAUGGGCCCCAUCUGCCUCCUCCCCGGCCAGCACUUUAUUAGGACGGCCUGAAAGGCUCAGAACCCACGUGAGCUGAGAGCAGCAGGUGGACCCCUAGAGGUGAAUGAGUUCCUCGGGCUCUAGUGUCUUGAGGGGGUCUGUAAGAAAACCCUGAAGAACCGUGGGGUGACCCUCUCCAAGGGAACACUGCUGAUGACCCCCAUCUGAGUUCUGGUCCCCAGUCGCAAGCACUAACCAGAACCUGAGGAGUUGAAUUCUAAAAGGAGUUGUGAGAGCUGCCCUGUUGAAUGAUGUCCACAAAGGUGGUGAGGACUUCUGUCCACGGCAGUUAGCAACACGAUUGCCCACGUGUCAUUCUUCAUCUCCAGCCUCAAGCGAGAAGAACCUGGUCAGUGGGAUUUGCAGCCUGCAGCCCCUUACUGACCACAAUGCUCUUUUGUCAUCUGCUGUCCCUCCCCCGUGCCCGCUGUGCUGGGCACAUUUCCCACCCGAACAGUUCCAGUCAUUCCUUCACUUUCUGUGCCUUGCCUUUAUUUCACAGGCAGGUAUUCGAAAAUGUCUGUUAAAUGAUUCAACAUUUUCUGCUACAUAAUGAAAAUUUAUUCCCCUCCACUUUCCCAAAUCAUCUUAAGAGUAAGAAUUAACUGUUUGGGAAAUAAAUAUUUAUGCAUAUUAUUCCUGACCUCUGCCUCUCUUCAAAUGGUAAAGGAAAAUUGUGCACCAACCUGACAAAAAAAAGCAG